GGGCCCGCACAAGCGGUGGAGCAUGUGGUUUAAUUCGAUGAUACGCGAGGAACCUUACCAGGGCUUAAAUGUAGUUUGACCGGUCUGGAAACAGACUUUCUCUUCGGAGCAGAUUACAAGGUGCUGCAUGGUUGUCGUCAGCUCGUGCCGUGAGGUGUUAGGUUAAGUCCUGCAACGAGCGCAACCCCUAUUCUUAGUUGCCAGCGGUUCGGCCGGGGACUCUAAGAAGACUGCCAGCGCAAGCUGAGAGGAAGGUGGGGAUGACGUCAAAUCAUCACGGCCCUUACGUCCUGGGCUACACACGUGCUACAAUGGCCGGUACAGAGAGCAGCCACUACGCGAGUAGGCGCGAAUCUUCAAAGCCGGUCUCAGUUCGGAUCGCAGUCUGCAACUCGACUGCGUGAAGCUGGAAUCGCUAGUAA
rnacentral:rRNA from 1 species